rnacentral:rRNA from 1 species
UACAGAGGUCCCGAGCGUUGUUCGGAUUCACUGGGCGUAAAGGGUGCGCAGGUGGGCUGGUAAGUUCGAUGUGAAAGCCCCGGGCUUAACCCGGGAAUGGCAUUGGAUACUACUGGUCUGGAGGAUUGGAGGGGGGACUGGAAUUCUUGGUGUGAGCAGUGAAAUGCGUAGAUAUCAAGAGGAACACCAGUGGCGAAGGCGAGUCCCUGGACAAUACCUGACACUGAGGCACGAAAGCCAAGGGAGCAAACAGG